rnacentral:rRNA from 1 species
UGGGGAAUUGUUCACAAUGGGCGCAAGCCUGAUGACGCAACGCCGCGUGGGGGAUGAAGGUCUUCGGAUCGUAAACCCCUGUCGAAUGGGACGAAAGACUCGCGAGUGAAUACUUCGCGAGAGUGACGGUACCGUUAAAGGAAGCCACGGCUAACUCUGUGCCAGCAGCCGCGGUAAUACAGAGGUGGCAAGCGUUGUUCGGAUUUACUGGGCGUAAAGGGCGCGUAGGCGGCAAUUCAAGUCAUCUGUGAAAUCUCCGGGCUUAACUCGGAACGGUCAGAUGAUACUGCUUUGCUAGAGUGCAGAAGGGGCAAUCGGAAUUCUUGGUGUAGCGGUGAAAUGCGUAGAUAUCAAGAGGAACACCUGAGGUGAAGGCGGGCUACUGGGCUGAUACUGACGCUGAGGCGCGAAAGCUAGGGGAGCAAACGGGAUUAGAUACCCAGGUAGUCCCUGAGCGGGCUGGCAAGGCGCAU